GAUGAACGCUGGCGGCGUGCCUAAUACAUGCAAGUCGAGCGAACGGACGAGAAGCUUGCUUCUCUGAUGUUAGCGGCGGACGGGUGAGUAACACGUGGAUAACCUACCUAUAAGACUGGGAUAACUUCGGGAAACCGGAGCUAAUACCGGAUAAUAUUUUGAACCGCAUGGUUCAAAAGUGAAAAACGGUUUUGCUGUCACUUAUAGAGGGAUCCGCGCUGCAUUAGCUAGUUGGUAAGGUAACGGCUUACCAAGGCAACGAUGCAUAGCCGACCUGAGAGGGUGAUCGGCCACACUGGAACUGAGACACGGUCCAGACUCCUACGGGAGGCAGCAGUAGGGAAUCUUCCGCAAUGGGUGAAAGCCUGACGGAGCAACGCCGCGUGAGUGAUGAAGGUCUUCGGAUCGUAAAACUCUGUUAUUAGGGAAGAACAUAUGUGUAAGUAACUGUGCACAUCUUGACGGUACCUAAUCAGAAAGCCACGGCUAACUACGUG
rnacentral:rRNA from 1 species